UCAGUGCUAGUGCAGUUUUUGAGGUUUCGUAAAACUUUUGCGAAUUGGCCAGAGAAUUGGAUUGAGGAUAUCAAGUGGCUCUUGGAUUACGUGAAGCAGCAGGCCAAGAAGGCACGGCAGAUGGAGGCACAACAGACGGAGGGGGACGUGCAAAUCGAGCAGCAACAGUCUAUAGAUGGAAAGGAGGAUAAUUCAGGGGGAUGCGCAAGUGGAGGCUUAGGAUGUGGAAGAGGUGCUGUAAUGUUCUCACUACCAAUGUGAUGAUGCCAGCCACUUGAACAACAUCCUCUUAGAAAUCUUGAAUUCUAAGAGUGCGUUCUGUGACAUUUGUCGAAUGGGAUUUACUGUACCAAAGAAAGGAGAUGCCAGGAAGAACAUGGUAAAGAUGGGGCUGAGGUCGCCCACCAGUUCUUCUUACAUUUUGAUUUUGCUGCUCGUCUAGCUCACCAAAAUCAAGAUUUUUGGAUGCCUAAAAUUUGGGUGAAUUGGAUGCAAGUUUGAGUUGCCGAUGGGGAAGAGCCAGCGUAACAAGCUUGCCAGGCCAAGGCCAGGCCAAGCCCACAGAUCAACCCACCACCACCCCACAAGAUGCCUCCCAAGUGAAGCCCAAGGACGUGAAGAAGCCUCCUCUAGGGGGCACACCGCCAGAAAAGGAGGAGAUACAUGAGGCGAAACAGCUGUCCAAAGAGCUAGCGACCGAGCAACAAUAGGUGGAGAUGGAAAAGCCACAGGACAAGCCCAAGACCCUGCCCCCAUAGGAUGCCCCAGAUGUGCCGAUCGUGGAGCAGUUGCCGGAUAUCAAGUGGCUCUUAGAUUAUGUGAAGCAGCAGGCCAAGAACGCACGGUAGAUGGAGGCACAACAGACGGAGGGGGACGUGCAAGUGGAGCAGCAGCAACAGUAGUCCACAGAUGCAAAGGAUAAUUUAGGGGGGAGGAUGCACAAGUGGAGGCCCAGAAGGUGGAAGAGGUGCGGCAAUGUUCUCACUACCAAUGUGAUGAUGCCAGCCAGUUGAACAACAUCCUCAGAAAUCUUGAAUUCUAAGAGUACGUUCUGUGACAUCUGCCGAAUGGGAGCUACUGCACCAAAGAAAGGGGAUGCUAGGAAGAAACGUGGUAAAGAUGGGACUGAGGUAAAGAUGUGGGUGUGUUUACAUUGUGGGAAGCAUUCCUGCGCACGAGAUGAAGAUGGCAAGCCACAAGGCCAUGCUAGAACGUAUGCCGCAUGGAAGGAACACUGGUGGGCUGCAGAAUUUCUUGAUCUAAUAUCUAGGUACUGCUUUUCAUGUGAAUGGAAUAUGGCAAUUACAAUGUCUAAAGAGACUUUGGUGGAUGGUAAGGCUGUGGAAGUUAUCAAUGAUUCAUCAUCAACCUCUUUUCUUGUCAAAGGAAUGAGGAAAAGGGUUCUGCUAGGGUAAAAGGGACGUUUUCUACUCCUCUGAAGAAGCUUUUUAUGGAGCUAGUGCUUUAGAUGAGGCACCCGUGACGGAUGAGAAGAGGGAUGAGAGCUUCUCUCAUAAGGAUGGAGAAGAAAAGAAAGAGGAUAAGGCUAGCACACUACUUAGCACACAUAAUCCAUUUUCAUAUAUUUACUCUAAGUGCGGUGGCUACAUGCAAGAUAGCGAACAACUUCUUCUAUGUAUUCUCCAUGCUCUAUGUAGAGAGGAAAAUAAAGCACAGAAACUAUCAAAUGAUUCUCCUAAAAGCAUUGAUUACAUAUUUGGAAGGGCGUUUGGAUAGUACAACACAAUGCUCUCCUUUCCUUUUCCUUUUCUUCGUAGUUCCAUUAAGACCCCUUAGUCUUUUUGAUGAUCUUGAUCUUAUAUGUAUUGGGGAUUGCUUAGGUGCCAUGGAUAUUAUCAGGAGAGAAGAGGAAGGUAUGAUGGAAUGUGGUGAUGCCCAACAAGAUAAUAAAAGUUAGACUAUAAGCAAGGGUGGACACAUAUUGGUGACUCAAUUGAAAAACUCCCACUCCAAUUUGCACUUUGAGAAGCUUGAUGCAAGAAUCAAGGAGAAUGACAUCAAUUAUCGCCUAGUUGGUGUUGUGCGUAAGGAAGGAGGGAAUUAUAUAGCAUUUGUGAGAAUUGGAUUGAGGAUGUGAGUUAAAGAUAUUUUGCGUCUUUUAGGCAGCUAGAGAAUUGGAUUGAGGAUGUUGAGGAUGUGAGUUAAAGAUAUUUUGCGUCUUUUGGGCAACCAGAGAACUGGAUUGAGGAUGUUGAGGAUGUGAGUUAAAGAUAUUUUGCAUCUUUAAGGCAGCCUAAAUCUUAUUUGUGCAAACUGAUAUUAACUUGGACCUCUG